GAUGAACGCUGGCGGCGUGCCUAAUACAUGCAAGUCGAGCGAACAGACGAGGAGCUUGCUGUUCUGACGUUAGCGGCGGACGGGUGAGUAACACGUGGAUAACCUACCUAUAAGACUGGGAUAACUUCGGGAAACCGGAGCUAAUACCGGAUAAUAUUUUGAACCGCAUGGUUCAAUAGUGAAAGACGGUCUUGCUGUCACUUAUAGAUGGAUCCGCGCUGCAUUAGCUAGUUGGUAAGGUAACGGCUUACCAAGGCAACGAUGCAUAGCCGACCUGAGAGGGUGAUCGGCCACCCUGGAACUGAGACGCGGUCCAGACUCCUACGGGAGGCAGCAGUAGGGAAUCUUCCGCAAUGGGCGAAAGCCUUACGGAGCAACGCCGCGUGAGUGAUGAAGGUCUUCGGAUCGUAAAACUCUGUUAUUAGGGAAGAACAUAUGUGUAAGUAACUGUGCACUUCUUGACGGUACCUAAUCAGAAAGCCACGGCUAACUACGUG
rnacentral:rRNA from 1 species